CUGCACAGUUUGCUGGUCGCCGGGGACUCUGCACUGCGCUCCUUCGCUGCCGCACGUACUGUGCUGAUAUAGGAAGAAGCUGCUCGGAGUUUCAAAAAAAUGAAACUUCGGGAGAUGCCAACACCAGGAACGGUAGAAAAUCCCUUGGUUAAGAUCCACAGGAAUUUCCCAAGGAUUCAGAAACUGCACUCAAAAGAUUACCACCACGAUCCAAACCAUCCAAAGAGCCUUUUGCGGGGAAGUGCAGACACAGGCCUUCAGUUUAUUUGCGAGUGCUAACUGAUUCU